rfam:Culex pipiens quinquefasciatus supercont3.191 genomic scaffold, whole genome shotgun sequence.
GGACCCGUGGUGUAGGGCUAAGCGUGAUUGCCUCUCACACAGUCGGCCUGGGUUCGAUCCCAGAAGGUCCA